rnacentral:antisense_RNA from 1 species
CUUGACCGAGCCGAGCAGCAGGGAGCGCUCCGGGUCGCGGUCCCGGCCGUAGGUCGCCAGCAGCGCCUGCGCCUC